UUCAUUCAAAUAAUAUGUAAACUCUUCUCGAAUGUAAAACGAACGAUCUACUCUGAUAAGUAACCCAAAUAUGGCACUUUGUAUUCGGUUGAAUAGCCAAUCAUUUCAAGUCAAGUGGAGCGGGUCUGCAUCGCUAUUUUGACGAAGUUUGCAACCUGUGGUAAUUUUUUGAAACCUCAUCUAGAUUUAAGGAGAUUCUUGUCUUGACAACUGCUCGAACUCCCGGAUUGGCAUGCACUGCAAGUUGAGUGAAAUCAGUAUGCAGAUUGUGAAGGGAAAACAUCAAGACGGGGCGAGGAAGAUGACAAAACAUGAUUGAGGAUCCCAAAGUUCUUUGGCUCAAGCUACUCAGCCUACCAUGAGAAAAUUAAAAGAUCUGCCAUGAAGAAGAGGCGGGUUCUCAAGUUUCAUAUUAUAGAUGGCAAGUAUUGUUUAGAUUUAAUUUAAAAGUAUUCUUGAUAAAGAAAGGGUGUUUGGCUGUUCAUAGCUAUUAACUGUGAUUGCAUUGUGUAUGAAUUUUCAAAAUCAAUUCAUUCUUUGGUGACCGUGUGCUUCAAAAUCAUAAUUUUUAAUAAAAAUACUGACUAUAUAUUUGUCCAGGUAUAUAAAAUGUUAAUCACUGUAUGAAUUCUAUUUCAGCAUGAUUGUCAUCUUCAAUUUGAGGGACUCUCACCUAAAGUCCUUUUACUGUUUCAUAUCAGGAAAAAGUUCAUGAGCAGAAACACGCUAUUUGGGAAAAAGGAAAAGCAUUAGAAGAAUUCCUGCAUGGGAAGAAAAGUUUUGGACUCUGAAAAGGAAGAUGUGACAAAUACAUUUUGACAGUUAUUGAUUUCCACUGAAACCAAUAUCCACAAGAAAGAGGAACAUAGUAGUUUAAUGUUGAUUCACAACUUUAAAUUCAAGAAUGUACAGUUGGUUUUAUUAUAAAACAUGUCACGUACGAAAAACAUUUUCGUGAAAUGUACUCUGUCUUCGAUACUUAUUUAUGUGUUUGUGAUUUGCAGGAU